UGGGGAAUUUUGGACAAUGGGCGCAAGCCUGAUCCAGCCAUGCCGCGUGCGGGAAGAAGGCCUUCGGGUUGUAAACCGCUUUUGUCAGGGAAGAAAUCUUCUGAGUUAAUACCUCGGGAGGAUGACGGUACCUGAAGAAUAAGCACCGGCUAACUACGUGCCAGCAGCCGCGGUAAUACGUAGGGUGCAAGCGUUAAUCGGAAUUACUGGGCGUAAAGCGUGCGCAGGCGGUUUUGUAAGACAGAGGUGAAAUCCCCGGGCUCAACCUGGGAACUGCCUUUGUGACUGCAAGGCUUGAGUGCGGCAGAGGGGGAUGGAAUUCCGCGUGUAGCAGUGAAAUGCGUAGAUAUGCGGAGGAACACCGAUGGCGAAGGCAAUCCCCUGGGCCUGCACUGACGCUCAUGCACGAAAGCGUGGGGAGCAAAACAGGAUUAGAUACCCUGGUAGUCCACGCCCUAAACGAUGUCAACUGGUUGUUGGGAAGGUUCCUUCUCAGUAACGUAGCUAACGCGUGAAGUUGACCGCCUGGGGAGUACGGCCGCAAGGUUGAAACUCAAAGGAAUUGACGGGGUCAUAGCUGUUU
rnacentral:rRNA from 1 species